GCAAGUGUGGCAUAGUGGUUUGAGUGUUGGACUAUGACUCUGGAGGCCAGGGUUUGAUUCCCUGCUCAGCCA